UUUGCUAUUCUUCCAUCCUGUGAAGUUUCGUCAAAAUCGGUGGGUGGCACUUGGCAAGAUUUUAUUCUUAGUUACUAUCUAGUGGCGCUGAUUAUUUCUCUGUUGGCAGUAUAUUGUGAACAGAACCUAAUGUUCAUAAAAUAACAACAACGCCAUUUUACUACCCAUAAUUACACAACAAGUAGUGAAAAUAAUUACAAAACGUUAAAUAUUUAUAUGAGGUAAUUAUUUAUAUAAAUUUGAUAAAAUUUAGAUGUAAUUAUUUGCCACAUAUCCCUCGAAAGUUGAAAUUUCAAUGCAAUGAUGACAGGAAAUAAAUUACUAUUUCAAACUGAUCGGGAACGUAACGGAACGAAAUAUUUAACGUAGGGGUAACAAAUUACCCAAAGAAAUAACAAAUUCAUACGAGAGAACAUAUUACAUAAAUCAUAGCAAGAUACCAUACAGCAUCACCAAAUAUCACCAAGGCUUACUUAACGUAUUAC
rnacentral:misc_RNA from 1 species